GUACACUCCUGCGGGAGGCAGCAGUGGGGAAUAUUGGACAAUGGGCGCAAGCCUGAUCCAGCCAUGCCGCGUGAGUGAUGAAGGCCCUAGGGUUGUAAAGCUCUUUCACCGGUGAAGAUAAUGACGGUAACCGGAGAAGAAGCCCCGGCUAACUUCGUGCCAGCAGCCGCGGUACUACGAAGGGGGCUAGCGUUGUUCGGAUUUACUGGGCGUAAAGCGCACGUAGGCGGACUAUUAAGUCAGGGGUGAAAUCCCGGGGCUCAACCCCGGAACUGCCUUUGAUACUGGUAGUCUUGAGUUCGAGAGAGGUGAGUGGAAUUCCGAGUGUAGAGGUGAAAUUCGUAGAUAUUCGGAGGAACACCAGUGGCGAAGGCGGCUCACUGGCUCGAUACUGACGCUGAGGUGCGAAAGCGUGGGGAGCAAACAGGAUUAGAUACCCGUGUAGUCCC
rnacentral:rRNA from 1 species